AACGAACGCUGGCGGCAUGCCUAACACAUGCAAGUCGAACGAGACCUUCGGGUCUAGUGGCGCACGGGUGCGUAACGCGUGGGAACCUGCCCUUAGGUUCGGAAUAACUCCCCGAAAGGGGUGCUAAUACCGGAUAAUGUCUUCGGACCAAAGAUUUAUCGCCUUUGGAUGGGCCCGCGUUGGAUUAGCUAGUUGGUAGGGUAAAAGCCUACCAAGGCGACGAUCCAUAGCUGGUAUGAGUGGAUGAUCAGCCACACUGGGACUGGGACACGGCCCAGACUCCUACGGGAGGCAGCAGUGGGGAAUAUUGGACAAUGGGCGAGAGCCGGAGCCAGCAAUGCCGCGUGAGUGAUGAAGGCGUUAGGGUUGUAAAGCUCUUUUACCCGGGAUGAUAAUGAGGGAACCGGGAGAAUAGGCUCCGGCUAACUCCGG
rnacentral:rRNA from 1 species